rnacentral:lncRNA from 1 species
AUUAACAUGCCUGAUGUACAUUUUUCAAAAGAAAUCACACCAUUUACUAGAAAAUUGAUAUGAUAUAUUUGGGUACGUCCUUCAGCUAGCGGGAAUGAUGAUUUUUUGACUAAUUCUAAUAUCAAUAUGCAUGAUCUCAUAUAUAUAUUGCUUGUUUUUGGCACGGAGUUUUCUCUAUUUAGAUUUUUGUUUUUAUAAUAAACUCCCUCUUUUAUUCAGGUGUUAGGAUAGUAGCGUCAAAUACAAAGAAUGGAAUGAUCGCACUAGGAGCCGAAUCCAUCCAUAAUUCAGGAGGAGAAACCUUAGCUAACCUAGCUAAUUGGUGGGCUACUUAAUUAUUUUCUUUAAAACAGUGAUCAUAGAUUACAUGGGUAAAAUAUAAGGACAUAAAGUAGUAAUCAUUGAAGAUUCAAGUUUUCUUUCUGUAAUUUCUUGUAAGAAAACUAUGGCAUAUUUAGAAAGGCACUGCGCUGGUUCGAGUAAGACGAUGUCGAGCAGGAAAGUGUAGUGACAGAUCGCGUGGUGGUCGGCUCGUCUCUCUAAAUAUUUUGGUGGCGACGGAGGGACAAUAGCACGGAGCAGCAGCCAGUGACGUAGCUAGGGGGUGG